UAAUAAGUGUUUUAUGGCACUUUUUAAAUCCAUAUCCACCUUGUGUGCAAUGUCAGUCGAUCUUCUUCAUGGAGAUCGACCAAACAUCAACCUUUAUUUUUAACUCUUUGUCUGAAAAAUAUUAUGAAUAAACAAUUCAAAAUA
rnacentral:misc_RNA from 1 species